rnacentral:rRNA from 1 species
UACGAAGGGGGCUAGCGUUGCUCGGAAUCACUGGGCGUAAAGGGUGCGUAGGCGGGCCUUUAAGUCAGGGGUGAAAUCCUGGAGCUCAACUCCAGAACUGCCUUUGAUACUGAGGAUCUUGAGUACGGGAGAGGUGAGUGGAACUGCGAGUGUAGAGGUGAAAUUCGUAGAUAUUCGCAAGAACACCAGUGGCGAAGGCGGCUCACUGGCCCGAUCUGACGCUGAGGUGCGAAAGCGUGGGGAGCAAACAGGG